rnacentral:rRNA from 1 species
AUUGAACGCUAGCGGGAUGCUUUACACAUGCAAGUCGAACGAGUGGCGGAUGGGUGAGUAAUAUAUUGGAACGUGACCAGUAGCGGGGGAUAACUACUAGAAAGAGUGGAUAAUACAGCAUACUAUUGGGUCGGCCGAUAUCGAAUUAGCUAGUUGGUGGGGUAAGGGUUCACCAAGGCAACGAUCCGUAGCUGGUUUGAGAGGACGACCAGCCACACGUGGACUGAGACACGGCCCAGACGCCUACGGGAGGCAGCAGUGGGGAAUUUUUGACAAUGGGGGAAACCCUGAUCCAGCCAUCCCGCGUGUAUGAGAAGGCCUUCGGGUUGUAAAGUACUUUUGGCAGAGAAGCGGUAUCUGCAGAAUAAGCACCGGCUAACUACGUGCCAGCAGCCGCGGUAAUAC